rnacentral:lncRNA from 1 species
AGCACCCACUAGAAAUCUUGCAUUGGUCACAUCGAAUUUUCACUUUCCAUCCAGAAAGUGUCAGAAUCUAAAAAAAUAGUGGGAGCCUAUUUGCAUCUAAAAGUCUCUAGAAAAAAUUUAAAUUUUAAGUAUAAAUAUGUAACUAGAAUCUCUACUCUCACAGAUAAACAAUGUCGGCCUCUAAUCCACUAGUCCGUAUCUUUGAAACCAACCGACUGAC